rnacentral:rRNA from 1 species
UACGUAGGGGGCAAGCGUUGUCCGGAUUUAUUGGGCGUAAAGAGCGUGUAGGCGGCUUUACAGGUCCGUUGUGAAAACUCGAGGCUCAACCUCGAGACGCCGGUGGAAACCGUAAAGCUAGAGUCCGGAAGAGGAGAGUGGAAUUCCUGGUGUAGCGGUGAAAUGCGCAGAUAUCAGGAAGAACACCCGUGGCGAAGGCGGCAUCCUGGACCGAUACUGACGCUGAGGAGCGAAAGCCAGGGGAGCAAACGGG